UGCACAGAGAAUAGAGACAACGGUCGACCUUAUUCUGAGGGGAAUUAGCUAACAAGAAUCCUUGGAGAUGCAUCGGAUUGGGCAGUGAGAGAAAAGAAUAAUAGUGGGUCUACCAUUCGACAUAUUAAUGUCAAGUGUUUUCGAAUUGACUGAACAAAGAAGUCAUCUUUUAGCAGUCUGGAUAUAUAUCUUUAGGAUAUUUAUUAUGCAAGUACUGUACAUCCCCGGUAGGAGACCGGUCUCAUGUCUGCUUCUCGUUAGAUGGACAGAAUUGUUUUAUUACUUGUAACAAUUAUUGGUACAUCUGGAAUCCUGCAUGAGGACUUAAUGCUGGUGUUUC
rnacentral:lncRNA from 1 species